GUUAUACUCCCUCCGUUCCAAAUUACUCGUCGCAGAAAUGGAUGUAUCUAGAACUAAAAUACAUCUAGAUACAUCCAUACCUGCGACAAGUAAUUCAGAACGGAGGGAGUAGUUG
rnacentral:pre_miRNA from 1 species